ensembl:ncRNA T14E8.5 ncRNA
GACGGCAUCGGCGGCAGCGACCGAUGAAGGCGAUGGCAGGGAGGGCGCCCCCAAAUAGGGACGACGAUUGAAUGUGGAAGAACACUGAUUUCGUCGUGUGGAGAGGAGGACUCAACAAAGUAACACGAAUCGACCCU